rnacentral:rRNA from 1 species
AUUGAACGCUGGCGGCAAGCCUAACACAUGCAAGUCGAACGAGUGGCGGACGGGUGAGUAAUGUCUGGGAAACUGCCUGAUGGAGGGGGAUAACUACUGGAAACGGUAGCUAAUACCGCAUACCAUCGGAGGUGCCCAGAUGGGAUUAGCUAGUAGUUGGGGUAAGGUCUCACCUAGGCGACGAUCCCUAGCUGGUCUGAGAGGCGGACCUGCCACCCUGGAACUGAGACACGGCCCAGACUCCUCCGGGAGGCAGCAGUGGGGAAUAUUGCGCAAUGGGCGCAAGCCUGAUGCAGCCAUGCCGCGUGUAUGAAGAAGGCCUUCGGGUUGUAAAGUACUUUCAGCGGGGAGGCGUUACCCGCAGAGGAAGCACCGGCUAACUACGUGCCAGCAGCCGCGGUAAUAC